UACGAAGGGGGCUAGCGUGCUCGGAAUCACUGGGCGUAAAGCGCACGUAGGCGGCUGAUUAUGAUGCAGGGGUGAAAUCCUGGAGCUCAACUCCAGAACUGCCUUUGAUACUGGCGAGCUCGAGUCCGGGAGAGGUGAGUGGAACUGCGAGUGUAGAGGUGAAAUUCGUAGAUAUUCGCAAGAACACCAGUGGCGAAGGCGGCUCACUGGCCCGGUACUGACGCUGAGGUGCGAAAGCGUGGGGAGCAAACAGG
rnacentral:rRNA from 1 species